rnacentral:rRNA from 1 species
AUUGAACGCUGGCGGCAUGCCUUACACAUGCAAGUCGAACGGCAGCACAGGAGAGCUUGCUCUCUGGGUGGCGAGUGGCGGACGGGUGAGGAAUACAUCGGAAUCUACUUUUUCGUGGGGGAUAACGUAGGGAAACUUACUCUAAUACCGCAUACGACCUACGGGUGAAAGCAGGGGAUCUUCGGACCUUGCGCGAUUGAAUGAGCCGAUGUCGGAUUAGUUAGUUGGCGGGGUAAAGGUCCCCCAAGGCGACGAUCCGUAGCUGGUCUGAGAGGAUGAUCAGCCACACUGGAACUGAGACACGGUCCAGACUCCUACGGGAGGCAGCAGUGGGGAAUAUUGGACAAUGGGCGCAAGCCUGAUCCAGCCAUACCGCGUGGGUGAAGAAGGCCUUCGGGUUGUAAAGCCCUUUUGUUGGGAAAGAAAUCCAGCUGGUUAAUACCCGGUUGGGAUGACGGUACCCAAAGAAUAAGCACCGGCUAACUUUGUGCCAGCCGCCGCGGUAA